UAGCUCAGGGGUAGAGCACUUGCCUACCAUGCAUGAGGCCCUGGGUUCAAUAUCCAG
rnacentral:tRNA from 1 species